rnacentral:lncRNA from 1 species
AAACCUAGCUACCAUGCAAAAAGUCUGACUGACUUGAGAUUACCAUAUUGUGAGGAAGUCCAUGCUAACCACAGGGAGGGGAACUGAGAAACCUAAAUAACAGUGAGAACUGAAGUCCGAGAUACAGGGCCCAAGCUGAGCCAUCAUGGGUAACACUACCAGGGGCAAAGACAGGCUCUCUCCAACAAGCCUGUCCAAGUCAGAAAGGUUCUCGCUCUGUCACCCACACUGGAAAGCAGUGGCACAAUCGCAGUUCAUUGCAGCCUCCACCUCCUGCCCCUGGGCUCAAGCAAUCCUCCCACUUCAGCUUCCUGAGCAGCUGGGAUUAUAGGUGCAUGCUAUCACGCCUGGCUAAUUUUUGUCCUCCCAAAGUGCUGUGAUUAAAGGCAUGAGCCACCAUGCCUGGUCAACAGUUUUAUUUUCUACCCAGACUUAAUCCAUGUUCUGAGGCAGAAUAAGUCCUUGAAAAUGGCCUUGAUGUUCACUUUAAUUUCCUUUUGUCUGGUCAGAUUUUCUGGGCAGUUCCCAUAUGUUUUUCUAUCCUUUUCCACUUUCCUCAUGCUCAAGAAGCUAAUCUUUAUAGACAGCAGGAAAGGGCCCACUUGUCCUUUAGAGUCCAGUUAGAUAUGGCUGUUGAGAAGCACCUAUAGGUAUUUGGAGGAUGGAUAAGUGCAGGAUCAUGGUUUUUCCUCCUCUGAAUUUCUCCUUGUCAGGUUGUCAAGGCUUAGCUCCGUUGCUCUACUGAAGAUCAUAGCUCCUGACAGGCAAUUGCCUCCUUCUUUUUUAUAGAUACAUAUUCUGAGUUCCAGUAACCACUCCCUCCUCUUGCUCCUUUUUUGGCAAAGUUUUCCUAAUGUUGGUAGCCAUGGGUACUGCACCAUCUUCUGUUGAUUUUUUAAAAAUACGUUCCACCUAACUUUGUAAAUGUUCCCUUUAUUAAACUCUUCUCAAUAAAUCUAUUUGAAUGUGUCAUCUUUUUUACUCCUAAAGCCAUAACAAAAAUAGCAGACACCAAAUUUCUCAAGUAGAGAGUAUGUUCUUCAGUUCUUUAUUGAUAUGAUAAUGAUGCAUGUAACUACAAGAAGGGCAACCAUACCAGCUAGCAUUUAAUAAAUCCAUGUGCUAGACACUAUUUUAAAGGCAUUACAUGGAUCGAUCAAUUUAAACUUUAUAAUUUCCUUAUACAGUUAUGUAUUAUUAUUAAUUCUAUUUCAUAAAAUUGUAAACUGAGGCACAGAGAGAUUAAACUAUAGGUAAUAAGUGGUGGCAACCUCUUCACACAUUGAAUAGCCUCACCCUCAUUUUGAUAUUUCUCUAGUAAUCCUACACUUAUUACCUUUUAGAAAUGGGAAUAAGGCAUUCUAGACUUUCCAGAUUAGUUUUAUUAUUGACUUGUUUUUAACAAUUUAGCUGAUUUUUAAAAUCUGAAAUAAAUUUUAUACCCUUGUAAGAAGUCACAUUAGUAUAUCUAUAGAUUAUUAAAUUACACAUUAUUUGGUUUGACAAUUUAUGCUGUUAUCUAUUGCUUUAGAAAAUAUGGUCAACAACACUAUUAUCUUGGGAUCUAUGGUUCUUGCUUUUUGGCCUCUUCCCUCCAUGUCUUCACUCGUCAACUUAUCAAUGAACAUUUCAAUGCCCAGCUUUGUCUCCCUUGUCUGCCUAAAUCUGUACAAUUAGAAGGGGAGGUCUGAAAAGGAUCAACCAAUCAAGAUAAUCUGGGAAGGACAUAUACAUGUAUUUUUUAAACCAUCGAUAUCACUUUACUAUUCAAAAUGGGACAUUUUUAAAUAAAGUAAAAUUAAUCAACUCACCUAAUGUUAAUAAAGUUAUUACAGAUUGUUAAUUUACUUAUGGAAAAAUGUCUAUUUUUUCCAUCAACUUUUAUUUAUGUCUCAUUUAUUUUAUUAAUGCAUUAUAUUGGAGAGUGAU